GUGUUUACAUAGGCAGCACACAUAGAAAACUGGAAUGAUACAGCGAAGAUGAGCAUGGCCCCUGCACAAGGAUGACCCACAAAUUCAUGAAGCAUUCCAUUAAAUA
ensembl:snRNA U6 U6 spliceosomal RNA